rnacentral:rRNA from 1 species
UGGGGAAUAUUGCACAAUGGGCGCAAGCCUGAUGCAGCGACGCCGCGUGAGGGAUGACGGCCUUCGGGUUGUAAACCUCUUUCAGCAGGGACGAAGCGCGAGUGACGGUACCUGCAGAAGAAGCACCGGCCAACUACGUGCCAGCAGCCGCGGUAAUACGUAGGGUGCGAGCGUCGUCCGGAAUUACUGGGCGUAAAGAGCUCGUAGGCGGUUUGUCGCGUCGUCUGUGAAAUUCUGCAGCUUAACUGCAGGCGUGCAGGCGAUACGGGCAGACUUGAGUACUACAGGGGAGACUGGAAUUCCUGGUGUAGCGGUAAAAUGCGCAGAUAUCAGGAGGAACACCGGUGGCGAAGGCGGGUCUCUGGGUAGUAACUGACGCUGAGGAGCGAAAGCGUGGGUAGCGAACAGGAUUAGAUACCCUGGUAGUCCACGCCGUAAACGGUGGGUACUAGGUGUGGGUUCCAUUUCACGGGAUCCGUGCCGUAGCUAA